rnacentral:rRNA from 1 species
AUUGAACGCUGGCGGCAGGCCUAACACAUGCAAGUCGAACGAGUGGCGGACGGGUGAGUAAUGUCUGGGACCCUGCCUGAUGGAGGGGGAUAACUACUGGAAACGGUAGCUAAUACCGCAUACCAUCGGAUGUGCCCAGAUGGGAUUAGCUAGUGGGUGGGGUAAAGGCUCACCUAGGCGACGAUCCCGAGCUGGUCUGAGAGGAUGACCAGCCACACUGGAACUGAGCACCGGUCCAGACUCCUACGGGAGGCAGCAUGGGGGAAUAUUGCACAAUGGGCGCAAUCCUGAUGCAGCAAGGCCGCGUGUAUGAAGAAGGCCUUCGGGUUGUAAAGUACUUUCAGCGGGGAGGCGUUACCCGAAGAAGAAGCACCGGCUAACUCCGUGCCAGCAGCCGCGGUAAUAC